rnacentral:rRNA from 1 species
CCUACGGGAGGCAGCAGUAGGGAAUCUUCCACAAUGGGCGAAAGCCUGAUGGAGCAACGCCGCGUGGGUGAAGAAGGUCUUCGGAUCGUAAAACCCUGUUGUUAGAGAAGAAAGUUCGUGAGAGUAACUGUUCACGUUUCGACGGUAUCUAACCAGAAAGCCACGGCUAACUACGUGCCAGCAGCCGCGGUAAUACGUAGGUGGCAAGCGUUAUCCGGAUUUAUUGGGUGUAAAGGGAACGUAGGUGGUUUUUUAAGUCUGAUGUGAAAGCGUUCGGCUUAACCGGAGUAGUGCAUUGGAAACUGGGAGACUUGAGUACAGAAGAGGAGAGUGGAACUCGAUGUGUAGCGGUGAAAUGCGUAGAUAUAUGGAAGAACACCAGUGGCGAAGGCGGCUCUCUGGUCUGUAACUGACGCUGAGGUUCGAAAGCGUGGGUAGCAAACAGGAUUAGAUACCCGAGUAGUC